GGGUUGUGAGGUUAAGCGACUAAGCGUACACGGUGGAUGCCCUGGCAGUCAGAGGCGAUGAAGGACGUGCUAAUCUGCGAAAAGCGUCGGUAAGGUGAUAUGAACCGUUAUAACCGGCGAUGUCCGAAUGGGGAAACCCAGUGUGAUUCGUCACACUAUCGUUAACUGAAUACAUAGGUUAACGAGGCGAACCGGGGGAACUGAAACAUCUAAGUACCCCGAGGAAAAGAAAUCAACCGAGAUUCCCCCAGUAGCGGCGAGCGAACGGGGAGCAGCCCAGAGUCUGAAUCAGCUUGUGUGUUAGUGGAACGGUCUGGAAAGUCCGACGGUACAGGGUGAUAGUCCCGUACACCAAAAUGCACAGGUUGUGAACUCGAAGAGUAGGGCGGGACACGUGGUAUCCUGUCUGAAUAUGGGGGGACCAUCCUCCAAGGCUAAAUACUCCUGACUGACCGAUAGUGAACCAGUACCGUGAGGGAAAGGCGAAAAGAACCCCGGCGAGGGGAGUGAAAAAGAACCUGAAACCGUGUACGUACAAGCAGUGGGAGCACCUUCGGGUGUGACUGCGUACCUUUUGUAUAAUGGGUCAGCGACUUAUAUUCUGUAGCAAGGUUAACCGUAUAGGGGAGCCGCAGGGAAACCGAGUCUUAACUGGGCGUUAAGUUGCAGGGUAUAGACCCGAAACCCGGUGAUCUAGCCAUGGGCAGGUUGAAGGUUGGGUAACACUAACUGGAGGACCGAACCGACUAAUGUUGAAAAAUUAGCGGAUGACUUGUGGCUGGGGGUGAAAGGCCAAUCAAACCGGGAGAUAGCUGGUUCUCCCCGAAAGCUAUUUAGGUAGCGCCUCGUGAACUCAUCUUCGGGGGUAGAGCACUGUUUCGGCUAGGGGGUCAUCCCGACUUACCAACCCGAUGCAAACUACGAAUACCGAAGAAUGUUAUCACGGGAGACACACGGCGGGUGCUAACGUCCGUCGUGAAGAGGGAAACAACCCAGACCGCCAGCUAAGGUCCCAAAGUCAUGGUUAAGUGGGAAACGAUGUGGGAAGGCACAGACAGCCAGGAUGUUGGCUUAGAAGCAGCCAUCAUUUAAAGAAAGCGUAAUAGCUCACUGGUCGAGUCGGCCUGCGCGGAAGAUGUAACGGGGCUAAACCAUGCACCGAAGCUGCGGCAGCGACACUAUGUGUUGUUGGGUAGGGGAGCGUUCUGUAAGCCUGCGAAGGUGACCUGUGAGGGUUGCUGGAGGUAUCAGAAGUGCGAAUGCUGACAUAAGUAACGAUAAAGCGGGUGAAAAGCCCGCUCGCCGGAAGACCAAGGGUUCCUGUCCAACGUUAAUCGGGGCAGGGUGAGUCGACCCCUAAGGCGAGGCCGAAAGGCGUAGUCGAUGGGAAACAGGUUAAUAUUCCUGUACUUGGUGUUACUGCGAAGGGGGGACGGAGAAGGCUAUGUUAGCCGGGCGACGGUUGUCCCGGUUUAAGCAUGUAGGCUGGUUAUCCAGGCAAAUCCGGAUAAUCAAGGCUGAGGUGUGAUGACGAGGCACUACGGUGCUGAAGUAACAAAUGCCCUGCUUCCAGGAAAAGCCUCUAAGCAUCAGGUAACAUCAAAUCGUACCCCAAACCGACACAGGUGGUCAGGUAGAGAAUACCAAGGCGCUUGAGAGAACUCGGGUGAAGGAACUAGGCAAAAUGGUGCCGUAACUUCGGGAGAAGGCACGCUGGUGUGUAGGUGAAGCCCCUGCGGGUGGAGCUGAGACCAGUCGAAGAUACCAGCUGGCUGCAACUGUUUAUUAAAAACACAGCACUGUGCAAACACGAAAGUGGACGUAUACGGUGUGACGCCUGCCCGGUGCCGGAAGGUUAAUUGAUGGGGUUAUCCGUAAGGAGAAGCUCUUGAUCGAAGCCCCGGUAAACGGCGGCCGUAACUAUAACGGUCCUAAGGUAGCGAAAUUCCUUGUCGGGUAAGUUCCGACCUGCACGAAUGGCGUAAUGAUGGCCAGGCUGUCUCCACCCGAGACUCAGUGAAAUUGAACUCGCUGUGAAGAUGCAGUGUACCCGCGGCAAGACGGAAAGACCCCGUGAACCUUUACUAUAGCUUGACACUGAACAUUGAGCCUUGAUGUGUAGGAUAGGUGGGAGGCUUUGAAGCGUGGACGCCAGUCUGCGUGGAGCCAACCUUGAAAUACCACCCUUUAAUGUUUGAUGUUCUAACGUUGGCCCCUGACCGGGGUUGCGGACAGUGUCUGGUGGGUAGUUUGACUGGGGCGGUCUCCUCCCAAAGCGUAACGGAGGAGCACGAAGGUUAGCUAAUCCUGGUCGGACAUCAGGAGGUUAGUGCAAUGGCAUAAGCUAGCUUGACUGCGAGCGUGACGGCGCGAGCAGGUGCGAAAGCAGGUCAUAGUGAUCCGGUGGUUCUGAAUGGAAGGGCCAUCGCUCAACGGAUAAAAGGUACUCCGGGGAUAACAGGCUGAUACCGCCCAAGAGUUCAUAUCGACGGCGGUGUUUGGCACCUCGAUGUCGGCUCAUCACAUCCUGGGGCUGAAGUAGGUCCCAAGGGUAUGGCUGUUCGCCAUUUAAAGUGGUACGCGAGCUGGGUUUAGAACGUCGUGAGACAGUUCGGUCCCUAUCUGCCGUGGGCGCUGGAGAAUUGAGGGGGGCUGCUCCUAGUACGAGAGGACCGGAGUGGACGCAUCACUGGUGUUCGGGUUGUCAUGCCAAUGGCACUGCCCGGUAGCUAAAUGCGGAAGAGAUAAGUGCUGAAAGCAUCUAAGCACGAAACUUGCCCCGAGAUGAGUUCUCCCUGAGACUUUAAGUCUCCUGAAGGAACGUUAAAGACGAUGACGUUGAUAGGCCGGGUGUGUAAGCGCAGCGAUGCGUUGAGCUAACCGGUACUAAUGAACCGUGAGGCUUAACCUUACAACGCCGAAG
rnacentral:rRNA from 1 species